ensembl:snRNA U6 U6 spliceosomal RNA
GUGCUCUCUUUGCAGCACAUAUACUAAAAUUAGAAUAAUACAGAGAAGUUAGCAUGGCCCCUGCAUAAGGAUGCCACGCAAAUUCAUGAAGUAUUCUAAGGAAAA